rnacentral:lncRNA from 1 species
UUAGAAUUAGUGGGAGAGAGAGAUAAAGUUAGGGUUAGAAGAAAAUUCAGGGUAAAGCACUUCUCCACUCCCUUCCUUGGCAUAACUCUUCAACCUCCUCCAUACCCACCAAGCUCGUCCAUACCCACCAAAUAGAAUUCCACAACAUUGUAAAUUGGAGAAAGAAACCGUCUUUUGGCGCUGGUUUUUGGGAUUUUUGGCUCCAAAUGAAUGUCAGGAUAACCACUAUAUAUAUAUAUGAGAAAAAUGACUGGAAAAAAUACAUUGCAAAGUGAAGCAAAAUUUCUGAACAGGUAUGUAUCAUUUCACCUACUCUUUGUUUGAAUAAGAUUCAAUAGAUUGUAAUUGCCACAAUCAUAUAUCAAAUUAUUAAUUCAUUAAUUAUUUGUGGCAUAGACAUUGAUAUGCUUUUAUUUUGUCUCAUAUGAUCAAUCUAGAUGAGAAUAAAUCAAUUAGAAGAUUUUGAAACAGAAACUCUUUAAUUUACUGUGUAUAUUUAGAGUUUUUAGUUUACUGUGUAUAUUUAUAGUUUUGCAUGGUGUACUGAAGGGGAAAUAUUAGAUAUUAUCAUAGUAGGCAUCUAUUUUGUGUAUAUAUUGACGUUUUCUGUCUGGUUUUGAGGGAAGAGUGGAUGGAUUGUGAAAAUAUGGUAUUAAAGCUUCUGUUUGAAUCAAAUCAUGCUUCUUGGUGGCCCUUGGGAAUUUGUUUGAUCGGAUAAUGGCACUUUAAAUUUAGAUGAACUGAAACAAAGUGUUUUAAGGUGAAUAUUUUGUAGGGUAAUUUAUAUUUUUGUUGAAACCAGUAAACAUUCCUUCACUAGGCUCAAUCUUUGUCAGACACACAGCUUCUUUUAAAUCUGCUGCAUGUAUAACUUAUAAGAUCUUUGGUAUAAGUUUUUGAAAAAAAUUAAUAUUAUGGAAAAAUAAAGGAGCUGUUGAUAGUUCCCAUACUAUUUUUAGUUUUGAUAUGUCUUUAUAAUUUUGAUAUCGUUGCCCAAGUAAGUCUAGUGCCUCUUCUCUUGCUUUUUCUUGCCAGUGAGUGUGCCUAGAAGAAAAAUAGUCCAUGAGAGCAAUGUCUGCGUUGUUUCUUGUUCAGCAUUCAUCAAUUAUUUCUUCAAAUAUGAGCUUCUCUCUUCCAGCAGUAUCAUGAUUAGCUUUCAAAAGCAUUCCAAGAUAAUCUGUUGUAAUGUUGUCCAUAUUGCUUACCAUUGCACACACUCUUUUCUUGAUUAUCUCUGUGAAAAGUUGCUGAAUUUUUCUUUCAACUUUCACCAUUGAAAAACUUUCAUUUAUACGAUAUACGUUUUUGAAAACAUAGUUGAUGUGCCUUCAAAUUAGAAAAAUUUCUACAUAAAUAGAUCUUUGGUAUGUUAUACUAAUUACCUAACUCGGCUAGUAAUGCUUCAAUAGUUCAAUAAAUUUUAGGAGAAGAAGAUAGUAAAUUCGUAUUAGGAAAUGAUGUGCAUCAGGCUUUCCAGAUUGAUGAUUUAUGUUCUUUUUGAGUUUUUCUUUAGUUAUUUCUAACUUUUGGUUUGUUAAACUAAUAGAUUUUACAUCUAAUGAAUAUACUAAAAUUAUAUAGUAUUUUUGGUAGAAUUC